GAAUGUGUUUUAAGAUCCCUUUCACAAUCAGAAGGUGCUAGCCAUCUAUUCCUUAAAGUUCGAAAGCUGAAAUGCAUCUCUUAUAAUCUUUGUUAGACUUACUUUUCUCCUUAGUGAGGAGAAAAUUCCUGAACUCCAGCAUGUCCUCAUUGAGGAUGGAAAGGAAAAGCUACUGGUGUUUGCAAAACUCUUAGCUCUCCUAAAGAAUGCAUUAUUUUAUUCAUUAAAUAUAUAAAUCAUUUCUGAAUGAGCAGAGCAUUAUGGAAAACAUUAUGAAAGAUCAAAAGUAAGGGAAUGCUCAGACCUGAUGCCCUGAAGCUUAUCAGUGCUAGACACUUGGACCAAAAGGUCACCUCUGAAUUGUUAUGACUGUGAUGAGCUCAUGCAUGUAGGUAUCAGCCUUCCUAGGAUCUGUACAUAAUCAUAUAAUGAAAUCUUAGUGUCUUGCCCUAUGACAUUUUUCAGUCUGAAUCUUUGAGGGGGAAAUAUCCACAGAAUGUAGAAUCAAAAGAGGGAGGAAAGGAACUGCAUAUGCUUUCAAUUUAUAAAUUUUUAAAAAAUUAUCAGUGUGCUAAGUAAAUACUGUAAUCAGAUUGAUUGUACAGAUUUGUAUUUUGAAACAAGUAGAAAGCAAAAUUAUUUUUGUAGACUAAUUCUCAAGAGAAAUAGAUUAUCAAAUUAGAGUGUGAAAGUAAGUUUUUAUGGAGAUAUUUGCACUGUGACAGAUCUAAGCAGAAGUGUGUAUCAUGAUUUCCUAUCAUCUCAUUUCUGAUUAAUCCAAAAGUAUAAAGAUGCUUUUAUACCAGUACAAUAUUUGAAAUAUCCACUAUAUUGCAUUAAAGCAAUAUUGUACUUUUUUAUCUCUUAACACACCAACUGAUUAACUUGGUAGCUAAUUAUCCAGAUGCUUUUAUUAGCUAUACAUUCUUCUUCUUUUUUAUUUAUUUAUUUUUUACAAAUCUUCUUUCCAUAAUAAAUAUUACCAUUUCUGGUCAAAAAUAAUUGCUUUGAAAAGAAAAUACAGCUUCUAAUUCUGAAUUCAGAUGUCUUAAAGAAUCUUCUCUAUUAGGACCAAGUUUAUUGAUCUUACUAUGCAGUACCCUCCCAUUUAUAUGAGGUUGUUUCCUUUUAUGUUGGACAGGAGAGCAUCAGGCAUACUUCUCUAGACAUUUGAGAAAGACACUAAGAUUUCCAUGUCAGCUGAGUAACUUUUUUCCCAAUCAUCACAUAUGAUUGAUUAAAUUAGGAUAAUGGUAUUUCAUAUUUCUAAGUCUUACUUUUAGUUAUAUAUGUGAUUUUCUAUAUAAAGUAUUUAGUAAUCAUGUUCUCCAAUUGACUUUGACUAAAGAAUGCCCAGGUAGAAAGGUGAGAAUAAUUAUUUACAGGCUUGUCUUUAAGAAUACAUGAAAUACAUCUAAAUUCAACAAUGCAAAGGAGGAAGAAAGCACAUAUAUAUGUUGAGGGUGUUUUUUCAUGUGUGAUACAGACAGGAUGGGUAAUAAAAAUUUGCAUCUUGCUAAAUCAGUCUUAUGGAAUAGAUUUAACAAUGUGUAUGGAAGCGGAAUGGAAUGAACAAGUAAAAUAUCACACUAGGCUCAUGGUUGGUGUAGUGACAAUGGCAAAUCUUGGCUGACCAUAAAAUAGAAAGACUAAAUCAGCCAAGUGGAGUGUAGAUUACCUGAUUCUCAGCUCAGAGGCACCUUGUCCCUUUUUCCACAUCUCUGGGAUGAAAAUCCUUUUCUUUCUUCUUCUUCUUCUUCUUCUUUUUUUGCUUGUGAGACUUUGCUUUAAGUUCUUAUACUGAUUAUUUCAUGGCAUGAACCUUUAUUAUUAUUUUUUGAUGAGAUGUCACAUGACAGCACAUUGAAAUUUUUCAAUUUAGAAAAUUUUGGAUGAGCUUAGUCCAAAUUUGAAAUUAUUUGUGACCCCAACAACAGAAACAUUUCUAUAAUAUGCAAUUUGAGUUCCCAAUAUAAUUUUUUUUAAUAAUGACAAAUUUCAAAGCAAAUUAUAUUUUACCCAUUUGUAUAGCAAUCUUGUCUGAUUUUCUUGUUCAUUUACUGAAGUAUAAGAGAUGACAAGCUUCCUCUGACAAGGUUUUAAUUAGUUUCCAUAUGUGAUAUUUUUAUACCAUGUGGUCCUGAAAUUUUCUUUUCGUAUGGAAAAAAAGGCCACUUAAACUGUUUUAAUUAUUUACCUGCAUCAGUUCUUAUAUUCCCCAAACAGAUGGCUUUGACACUUUUUUUUUUGCUUGUUUGUGCUUUGAUUUUUUAAAAAAACUUUCUUCUUAUUCUGGCAAUUCAGAAGGAAUAGUUUACUUCUCACCAAUUGUAUUAAAGAAAAAGUAAAAGAUGGAGUGUAGGUCACCUGAAGGAUUUUCUGCAGCUAAACUCAAUUACAGGCAAUGACUGAAAUGUAUUUAAAGUUGCUGAUUUGGAGGGGUGGAUGGAUGCUGUCCUCUGGCUUCUGAGAGGACAGGGCUUGUAGAGCUUUUACAAAAUGAACAAAUAUUGACAGUUUCCUUUUCUUCUGUUUUUUUUUUUUCAUUGUG
rnacentral:lncRNA from 1 species